CUCUUCUAAGGAUGGCACCUGGAGAGUUUCUGGGACUCUACCAGUCUUGGCUAUGGGAGGGAGGGUCAAGCAGAGGUAUAUCCAUUCCACUCCUAGCUUGGCCAGUGGCUAGCGAGUGGAAGGCAAUCUUCUACAAGU